rnacentral:rRNA from 1 species
UACAGAGGUCUCAAGCGUUGUUCGGAUUCACUGGGUUUAAAGGGUGCGUAGGCGGGUCUGGAAGUCCGUGGGGAAAUCUCCGGGCUCAACCCGGAAACUGCCAUUGAUACUAUAGAUCUUGAAUUUUCCGGAGGUAAGCGGAAUAUGUCAUGUAGCGGUGAAAUGCUUAGAUAUGACAUAGAACACCGAUUGCGAAGGCAGCUUACUACAGGGACAUUGACACUGAGGCACGAAAGCGUGGGGAUCAAACAGG